GCGCGGGUGGUGAAACCGGCAGACACGCUGGCUUGAGGGGCCAGUGCCAGCAAUGGCGUGGAGGUUCAAAUCCUCUCCCGCGCA
rfam:Parcubacteria (Giovannonibacteria) bacterium GW2011_GWA2_45_21 TX06_C0015, whole genome shotgun sequence.